rnacentral:rRNA from 1 species
GGCCCCAAGUCAGGCGAGACCACCCGCCGAGUUUAAGCAUAUAAAUAAGCGGAGGAGGAGAAACUUACGAGGAUUCCCCUAGUAACGGCGAGUGAAC